rnacentral:lncRNA from 1 species
CUUAGGAGAGCAAACCCAGCUUGCUUGUUAAUCCUUCCUGCUCAAAGUACGGGACUGCCAGGGAGCUGGCUGGGCAGGGGCCCCGGGCCAGGCACAUCUAGAUCUCUAGCCAUGGGCAGGAGACAAUUAGCCAGUUGGUCUGGAGGGGAGCAGGUCUGGCUGUGGGGCUCUGGGCUGUGUCCCCCAGAGAGCAGGACUUCCCGGGGGAAGCUGCAGACAGUGCUGAGGGCACACAGGGUGUCAUUUACAGAGGGGAACUGAGGGCUUCGGCUCUGCACCCUCUGCCCCACCCAACCUCCUAUGUGGGAGCCCUGUCAUGGCAGAGAGGGAUUGGCACAAAGCCACAUCUGGGUGACACUCAGCUGCUGUCAUUGUUAUUGCUUUAUUUUUACCACAUACAGAGCUUCUAUGAAGUAACAUUUUCUCUCUCUGUUAUCAGUCCCAGGUUAAGGAUGGGAAAACUCGAGUGGAAAUUCACACUUAAGUCCCCAGAAUCUAAUUCCUUUCAAACAUUAUCCUGUGCUGUGUUGGGGUGACUCUGGCAGAGUUCCUAGCUUGCCUGGGCCUGCUUGGUCAGGGGCUCUGGAGGACAAGCCCAGGAAUCUGUUCCUAAUGACUCUGGCCCUCACCACUCAGCUGACUUGGAUGGAGGGGUCUGAGGGUCCAGCUCAAGAGGGGCACAGGGCAGGCACCACCUUGCAUAUCUUCUGGCUCCAGAGCACUCUCUGAACCUCCUGGGUGGGAGGGUCUGAGUCUGCUGUGGAGGGGAGCAGGCUGGGAGACAGGCCAUGUCCUACCGGCCAUGAGCCCCUUCGUCCACUGAGGAGCACUCGGUGGCUGUUCCCUUACCUGCUCUCCGUCACAGCAAAGGCAAGAGUCCAGCUCUAGGAUCUUUAUCUCUCACGCCUGGCACAUCUCAGGGACGCAGACCCACGUGCUGAAAGGACAGACACACAGACAGGGAGCAAGGGAGAGCAGGGCGUGGACAGAAGCUUCUGGAAAAGCUGCCGUUGAGGAAGGGCUCUGGGAGACAGAGGCUGCCGGGAGGAGAGCUGAGCAGCUCCAGCCUGGCGGUGGACCUCAGGGUGAGGUGAAGGUGGGAGACAGAGCCCCACACAGAGGCUGGACAGCUGCGUCCCCUGUUCUGGGUCCCCAGGGUCUGCGGUGGGCACAGGGCAGCCACUGAAGUGAGGAGCCCCUGUCCCCCCCUCACAGAACCCGAGGGCCAUGCCUGGGGCCUGGCGUCCGCUUGUCACCGGGAGAAAAGCCAGUUUGUCCUGCAGACCCUACAGCCAGAGCAGGCACAAGUGCUGGAGAUAAGAG